rnacentral:rRNA from 1 species
AAUAGAUACCCCUGGUAGUCCACGCCCUAAACGAUGAUAACUCGAUGUUUGCGAUACACAGUAAGCGUCUUAGCGAAAGCGUUAAGUUAUCCACCUGGGGAGUACGGUCGCAAGAUUGAAACUCAAAGGAAUUGACGGGGGCCCGCACAAGCGGAGGAGCAUGUGGUUUAAUUCGAUGAUACGCGAGGAACCUUACCCGGGCUUGAAAGUUAGUGAAUGAGACAGAGACGUCUCAGUCCUUCGGGACACGAAACUAGGUGCUGCAUGGCUGUCGUCAGCUCGUGCCGUGAGGUGUUGGGUUAAGUCCCGCAACGAGCGCAACCUCUAUGUUUAGUUGCCAGCAUGUAAUGAUGGGGACUCUAAACAGACUGCCUGUGCAAACAGAGAGGAAGGUGGGGACGACGUCAAGUCAUCAUGGCCCUUACGUCCGGGGCUACGACACGUGCUACAAUGGAUGGUACAGCGGGCAGCUACAUAGCAAUAUGAUGCUAAUCUCUAAAAGCCAUUCACAGUUCGGU